CUCACCCCCACUCCUUCUGUCUCAGUCAUUUCCAGGAUAAAAGAUUCCAGAGUUUGGUCCCGAAGUCAGAAACAAAGGAGGGAGCAGGAGAUAAAAUUAUGACAUCAAGGAAAAAUAAACCGAACACUUCCUUCUGUUCUGUCGAUGAGUGUGUGAAUGAUUAAACUUUCCUUGUUUUAAAUUUGUGGAAAUGACGAAUUAUCUGAUCACUCAAAUUAAGCCAGGAACCUACUGGAGAUCACCUGCAGGCCUCAGAUCCAGCAGGGCAGUUACAUGCACCAAGGAUACAGCUAUAGGAUGCAGAACCCACUGGCUCUGCAGACUCCACCUGCCCCAAGCCUGCGUGAUCUGCUUGUAUCCUGUCAGCAGGCUGCAAACUUCUCAACAGAAGAAAUAAUCUUGUUCCAAGGAAGUGGUUAUUG
rnacentral:lncRNA from 10 species